AUGAACUCUAGAGAUAUAUCGUGUCAUCAAUGGACUCUGUGUUCUGUGUACAUGAUCUCUAGAGAUAUAUCGCGUCAUCAAUGGACUCUGUGUUUUGUGUACGUGAACUCUAGAGAUAUAGUGCGUCAUCAAUGAACUCUGUGUUCUUUGAGUUAUAAAUAUUGUCAUUUAGAAUGGUGGCUCAUUAAUGUGUGAUGAUUCUUUUUUUCAGUUUUGAUUUGCACACAAGAAUUGAUUACAAUACAUUCAAAGGGAAAUAACUCAAAUCUGAUUCUUUAAUUUAAAAUGAAAAAGCAGUUAUCCCCCUUAGAGAUAUCGGUAUUGGAUGUUGUUGAUCCCUGAAAUUUUUUCAUAGGAAAGUUUAUAGAGUAUCAGUAAAUGUUUCAUUACAAAAUGCCAUGAUAAGUGUAAUUGGGGAUUUGGGAGAAGGGGGGUUCAAAGUGGACCAUACCAAAAGGUUGGGUUUUUUUUCAAAGUUUGAAUGACAACAAUGGCAACGUGUAAAUAGUUGACGUUAAUGUGUGUUAUAUAUUGUACGGCUGAGCCAUGUCUUAGAUCCCCUAAACCUGUAAUACUUAAAAUGUUAUGACAAGUUACAUCAUGAUAAAGUGGUGUAAGGCAAAUGUUAUGUAGGCCAUGCUGUUAAUAUUCUGAUGCUACUCUUUGUAUUGGGUUCAUGAUGCAUUUUGUAAAAAUAUACCUAUUAUGUACACUAAUGGUGGAUUUAGCACAUUUCUCCCUCAUAAAAAAACUGAGCUAUAUUGAUCAGGUAGAUAGAAAAGUCAUGCUUAUGUGAAUAGUUUUGAAGGAAUAUUGUGACCAAAUUUAAGCACAAUGGUGGAUAUAGCACAUUUCUCUCGCAUAGAAAACUUGGUUUUGUUGAAUAGAUAGAUAAACAACUCAUAUUUCUGUUUAACAUUUAUUGAAAUAGCUUUAAAGGAAUAUUGUGCUUAUGUUCAUAUUUUGAGACAUUUACAGUGUUUGUUUGAUGUUUAUGCAUACCAUAAAUUACAUAAUGAUUUUUGAGGAGUUGUAGCAAACUGUAGAUAAAACUCAAUAAAUGUGAUAUUUCUUUG
rnacentral:sRNA from 1 species